GAGUUUGAUCAUGGCUCAGAGCGAACGCUGGCGGCAGGCCUAACACAUGCAAGUCGAGCGCCCCGCAAGGGGAGCGGCAGACGGGAGAGUAACACGUGGGAACAUGCCCUUCAGUUCGGAACAACCAAGGGAAACUUUGGCUAAUACCGGAUACGCCCGUAAGGGGAAAGAUUUAUCGCUGAAGGAUUGGCCCGCGUCUGAUUAGCUAGUUGGUGGGGUAAUGGCUCACCAAGGCGACGAUCAGUAGCUGGUCUGAGAGGAUGAUCAGCCUCACUGGGACUGAGACACGGCCCAGACUCCUACGGGAGGCAGCAGUGGGGAAUAUUGGACAAUGGGCGCAAGCCUGAUCCAGCCAUGCCGCGUGAGUGAUGAAGGCCUUAGGGUUGUAAAGCUCUUUCGUCAGGGAAGAUAAUGACGGUACCUGAAGAAGAAGCCCCGGCUAACUUCGUGCCAGCAGCCGCCGUAAG
rnacentral:rRNA from 1 species